GAUGAACGCUGGCGGCGUGCCUAAUACAUGCAAGUCGAGCGAACAGACCAGGAGCUUGCUCCUUUGACGUUAGCGGCGGACGGGUGAGUAACACGUGGAUAACCUACCUAUAAGACUGGGAUCACUUCGGGAAACCGGAGCUAAUACCGGAUAACAUAUUGAACCGCAUGGUUCAAUAGUGAAAGGCGGCUUUGCUGUCACUUCUAGAUGGAUCCGGGCGGUAUUAGCUAGUUGGUAAGGUAACGGCUUACCAAGGCAACGAUGCGUAGCCGACCUGAGAGGGGGAUCGGCCACACUGGAACUGAGACACGGUCCAGACUCCUACGGGAGGCAGCAGUAGGGAACCGUCCGCAAUGGGCGAAAGCAUGACGGAGCAACGCCGCGUGAGUGAUGAAGGUCUUCGGAUCGUAAAACUGUGUUAUCAGGGAAGAACAAAUGUGGAAGUAGCUGUGCACAUCUUGACGGUACCUGAUCAGAAAGCAACGGCUAACUACGUG
rnacentral:rRNA from 1 species